rnacentral:rRNA from 1 species
CAGGCAGGGCGCAGCCUGAUCCGCCAUACCGCGUGGGUGAGAAGGCCUUUCGGGUUGUAAAGCCCUUUUUGUUGGGAAAGAAAUCCUAUCGGUUAAUAACCGGUGGGGAUGACGGUACCCUAAGACUAAGCACCGGCUAAUUUCGUGCCAGCAGCCGCAAUAAUA